rnacentral:rRNA from 1 species
UACGGGGGGGGCAAGCGUUGUUCGGAAUUACUGGGCGUAAAGGGCUCGUAGGUGGCCAACUAAGUCGGACGUGAAAUCCCUCAGCUUAACUGGGGAACUGCGUCCGAUACUGGAUGGCUCGAGUUUGGGAGAGGGAUGCGGAAUUCCAGGUAUAGCGGUGAAAUGCGUAGAUAUCUGGAGGAACACCGGUGGCGAAGGCGGCAUCCUGGACCAACACUGACACUGAGGAGCGAAAGCCAGGGGAGCAAACGGG